UCACAUUGGUUAAAAAACAAAACAAAAAACAUACUAUUUCAGGUUGUACCAAUACAUAUUACAUUAUUGGUUAUACCUUUCUUACACAUUCCUUUUACAUGUUCAGUGAAACUAAUUUUUGUUGUAUUAUCUGUUAGAGGAGAUCUGAAGGAAGGUUUGGAUCAAGCUUUUUCUAUAAAAGAACGCCUGUGGUAACAAGUGGGCCCUUUCAGGAUGCGAGACAGGUGAUGAAAUUCUUCAGACUGGAGCCGGGGAGAGUAUCUUAUCAUACCAUCCACAUACUAUCCCAGGAAGAGCGCAGAAUUCAUCCUGUCCCAUUUUCUGCAAAAAUGAGAUCCACAUUCAAAAGGACACAGAAAGAAUGGAGAAAGAUUUUCUUGUGGAUUUUUUUAGGCGAGUCUGAGGUCCGUUACACUGAAGAAGUGGAUGAAAGAUCGAAAACUAAAACACUGUUUCGGCAAUAUUCUGA